CCAGACUCCUACGGGAGGCAGCAGUGGGGAAUAUUGGACAAUGGGGGGAACCCUGAUCCAGCGACGCCGCGUGAGUGAAGAAGUAUUUCGGUAUGUAAAGCUCUAUCAGCAGGGAAGAAAGAAAUGACGGUACCUGACUAAGAAGCCCCGGCUAACUACGUGCCAGCAGCCGCGGUAAUACGUAGGGGGCAAGCGUUAUCCGGAUUUACUGGGUGUAAAGGGAGCGUAGACGGCGAUGCAAGCCAGAUGUGAAAGCCCGGGGCUCAACCCCGGGACUGCAUUUGGAACUGUGUGGCUGGAGUGUCGGAGAGGCAGGCGGAAUUCCUAGUGUAGCGGUGAAAUGCGUAGAUAUUAGGAGGAACACCAGUGGCGAAGGCGGCCUGCUGGACGAUGACUGACGUUGAGGCUCGAAAGCGUGGGGAGCAAACAGGAUUAGAUACCCGAGUA
rnacentral:rRNA from 1 species